UAAAACUAGUCUCUCUCUCUCUCUCUCUCUCUCUCUCUCUCUCUCUCUCUCUGUGUGUGUGUGUGUGUGUGUGUGUGUGUGAAAGAGAGAGAGAGAGAGAGAGAGAGAGAGAGAGAGAGAGAGAGAGAGAGAGAGAAACUAAAUUG
rnacentral:miRNA from 1 species